AUUGCUAUUACCUAAAGUAAUUCCUGCUCAGUGAAUAUUAACAGCCGCAGAAUUUUAUACUGUGCUAAGGUAGCAUAAUCACUUGUCUUCUAAUUAAAGAAUAGAAUGAACGGAAAAACGAAUUUUAGCCUGUCUCAUUUUUUAAAAAUAAAAUUACCAAAAAGUAAAAACACUUUUUUUCAAAAAAAAGACGAUAAGACCCUAAAGAACUUUACUAAAGUUAAGCUGGGGCGGCUUUCCAAAAAAAUCUUACUUUUAAUUCCCUAUACCCUUCAUUAAUUAUCAAUGUUACCUUAGGGAUAACAGCAUAAUUUAAUUUAAUAGCUCUUAUUCAAAAUUAAGAUUAUGACCUCGAUGUUGAAUUAAAAUUCUACUAAACGAAAAAAAUUAGCAAGAAAGUCUGUUCGACUUUUAAUUAUUUACAUGAUUUGAGUUCAGACCGGUGAAAACCAGGUCGGUUUCUAUCUUUUUUUAACUUUUAUUAGUACGAAAGGACCAUAAAAACUAUUU
rnacentral:rRNA from 1 species